rnacentral:rRNA from 1 species
GAGUUUGAUCAUGGCUCAGGAUGAACGCUGGCGGCGUGCCUAACACAUGCAAGUCGAGCGAAGCGAUCGAGAUGAAGUUUUCGGAUGGAUUCCUGAUUGACUGAGCGGCGGACGGGUGAGUAACGCGUGGGUAACCUGCCUCAUACAGGGGGAUAACAGUUAGAAAUGACUGCUAAUACCGCAUAAGCGCACAGUACCACAUGGUACGGUGUGAAAAACUCCGGUGGUAUGAGAUGGACCCGCGUCUGAUUAGCUGGUUGGUGGGGUAACGGCCCACCAAGGCGACGAUCAGUAGCCGACCUGAGA